AGCGGCGGACGGGUGAGUAAUGCAUAGGAAUCUGCCCGGUAGUGGGGGAUAACCUGGGGAAACCCAGGCUAAUACCGCAUACGUCCUACGGGAGAAAGGGGGCUUCGGCUCCCGCUAUUGGAUGAGCCUAUGUCGGAUUAGCUAGUUGGUGAGGUAAAGGCUCACCAAGGCAACGAUCCGUAGCUGGUCUGAGAGGAUGAUCAGCCACAUCGGGACUGAGACACGGCCCGAACUCCUACGGGAGGCAGCAGUGGGGAAUAUUGGACAAUGGGGGCAACCCUGAUCCAGCCAUGCCGCGUGUGUGAAGAAGGCCCUCGGGUUGUAAAGCACUUUCAGCGAGGAAGAACGCCUGUCGGUUAAUACCCGGUAGGAAAGACAUCACUCGCAGAAGAAGCACCGGCUAACUCCGUGCCAGCAGCCGCGGUAAUACGGAGGGUGCAAGCGUUAAUCGGAAUUACUGGGCGUAAAGCGCGCGUAGGUGGCUUGAUAAGCCGGUUGUGAAAGCCCCGGGCUCAACCUGGGAACGGCAUCCGGAACUGUCAGGCUAGAGUGCAGGAGAGGAAGGUAGAAUUCCCGGUGUAGCGGUGAAAUGCGUAGAGAUCGGGAGGAAUACCAGUGGCGAAGGCGGCCUUCUGGACUGACACUGACACUGAGGUGCGAAAGCGUGGGUAGCAAACAGGAUUAGAUACCCUGGUAGUCCACGCCGUAAACGAUGUCGACCAGCCCGUUGGGUGCCUAGAGCACUUUGUGGCGAAGUUAACGCGAUAAGUCGACCGCCCUGGGGGAGUACGGCCGCAAGGUUAAAACUCAAAUGAAUUUGACGGGGGCCCGCACAAGCGGUGGAAGCAUGGUGGUUUAAUUCGAUGCAACGCGAAGAACCUUACCUACCCUUGACAU
rnacentral:rRNA from 2 species